UACAACAACGAGGUAUUAUGAAAUUAGAUAUUUUUGCUUAGUUGACGGUUAUACAAAGUAUAAGAAAGUCUACUUGACAGUGUGCAUGAUCGUAAAAGUAAAAAGAUCAUAAAAAGGGGAAAGUAUGAUGCUAACAAUAGCGUGAUAUCUUCGAAAUAUUUUUUAAUUAUUACGCAACGCUGAAAUUGUUAAGAUACGCUUUAUGCAUCAUUCAGCAACAUACCGUCUUUCAUGCAAUUCAUUCUGUGUAAGGAAUAAACUACGAUCGAAUAAGUUAAUUGUGCGCAUUACUAAACAACGUGUUAUAUCGUUACGCGUAAAACCAAUGCCUCCCUUGCGUUUUCGAUUUAAUUUUUCAAGCGUCGUUCUUUUCAGGUUCUUUAGCGGGUUCACCUUGAAACUUGUCGUUUUAAACGAAGCAUAAAAUUGUAGCAUCGAGCUGACAAAUUUAAAUCUCUCAACGGUGCUCUGCGACGUGCAUUUCAAUUACUUCAAUUAUCAUUCGAAUGAUAUAAAACUACGAGAGAAAUCGUUUCGAUUGUAAAUAUCAGUUUCCAACAGAUUCGACGUUCAGUCCACAGGGUCGAUUUUGUGAUAAAGAGAUUUCUACGGAAUAAAAGUGUGAAAUUGAAACAAUUUUCCUAGUAAAAUUGUACGCUUUGUCGCUCUUGUCCUAAACGUAAGCGAGAGAUUUAAAUUUUCGACCAGUUUGACGUUAGAAAAUAUUUUACUUGACCAGAGAAAUCGAAAUUUCAACGUUGCAUAAAUUCUGUUAUAAAAUUCAUCUACACGUUCCGUGACAUUGGACUCCGUCAAAAUUUAAAUUUCCCAUCGAUGUACUGGAUUUAAGCGUAACAAAACUUGCAAUUCUUGUAUAACGGAACGACGCUUUUAUAGAUUUGCACCUGUGUACGGCACUACGUUGUUCUUUGGUGUCAAGUGUAACGCCUAUCGAGCGCGAAGGUGCAGAAGAAUGUAUUAAAUAUGAGCAUUCUAUAGUUAACUGUUAGUGGAACACGCUGGAAUUGCAAAGUUUUACGUGUGCAACUUAUAAUACAAAACGAUGCAUAUUUACCAUGUUUAACCGCACUGUUGAAAUGAUACGCCGGAUCGAUCGAUGCGUCACAAGCACUUCUACAUAACUAGCCUUUUUUUAAAUAAAAGUUUCCAUCGCCUGAAUUAUAAUUACACUUGAAGAGAAACGAAUACUAUAGAGAAUACGUGUCAAGACUAUCAACUUCGAAGAUGAAUAUCUUCACUAGCUACUAAGGCUGGCUUCUCUAAAAAUGGAACUAUGUUUAGGUGAUAUGCCGAAUAACGCAUGGUAAAAACUUCAAGGAAAUCGCAGGAAUCUACGCUACAAACAUCUUCAACCGAAGUUACCGAGCCAAGGCACCUCAAUUUCUCAGCGAUCUGCACAUUGGCCAAGAACAAUCUUUUAAUCGCCAGUAAGCAAAAGACCAGGCCGAAAACGCAAUCUUUUUAUUCUUGACUUUCGUCUUAUCUUAGCUCCAAGAAUCAACCCCUAAAUCUUUUUACGCCCCGAGCACCCUGUGUAGUGUCAUGUGCGCAUCGCCUCAUAUAGUACGCCUCACACGGAAUUACCUGACCUUUACCGAUAGACAGAACGAUAUAUGCGCGUUUUACACAUUUAGGUGCGACUUUACAAUAAUCCGUUUGAAUUCUACGUGUAACAAAGUGGCAACGCCAAGGACGUGCGAUUGUAUUUUAUUAAUGUCGUUGUCAAUUUCUAACGUCAUAUACACCCUCGUUCAUAAGCGGAUAUUAAGAUGCCUCGUCGUCUUACCAACUGGCCUUAUUCGGAACGCAAUGGUGUUACUACUCUGACUACUGUUAUUAACGUUUUAGAAGCUCGAGCUAAAAGAAUAUUACAAUGAAAGCGACAAUGAAUUCAUCCCGCGUCUUAUACUUAGACGGUUUGAGACGCGAACGGAAUACAAUUCAACGCAGCUCGAUGUACUGAAAAUUUCUCUGAACGAUUUACCGGUAUAAAGCGAUAUUUAUGUAGAAUGCGCAAGUCAUUGGAAGAAUAUUACAUGUACGUUGUAUUUUGUCGCUUGCGAUUGUUUUCGUAUUGUUGUUGUUGAAAUACGGAUCAGUAAGAAAUAUUCGAGUACAAGCGACGAUAAAUUCUUCUCGCGUUUUACAUUUAGACGGUUUACGACGCAUACGGAAUACAAUUCGACGCAGUUUGAUGUAUUGGAAAUUUCUCAGAUUUAUCGGUACGAAAUAUUCAUGUAGAGCGCAUAAAUAAUUAAGAGAACGUUACAUCUACGUUGUAUUUUGUCGCUUGCGAUUGUUUUCGUAUUAUCGUUGUUGAAACAUGGACUGGCAGAAGAAGGUGGAAUUACAAAAAGACGCGCGUGUUUCGCUAGCCGAAAAUUCCCUCGUCUGAACAGUCGCAUCUCCAAUGUGGCGAUCGAGAAUACGUAGGAAACGUAGGAAAAAGAAAUUUAGUUUGAUUAUAUACGGUUAUCGAUGAGAUUGUUAAUAUAAAAUCGCAUAUGUGGACUGUUUACAGUUGAAGGAAUAAAAGGAAUUAAUGUAUUUCCAUAUGGAACCUGCACGAAUCUCAUUGAUUACUUAAAAUAAAUUGCGGAUAAACGAAAUUUUAAACUACAUAUCCUACAUGUCUUAAUACGUUAAUCGAUGGAAAUUGCUUGUUUGACAUUUCAACGUGACCAAAGGGUUAAUCUAUGCAAAAUUAUCGCAAAAGAAAUCCUAGUGCAGGAAAGUUUCUAAGCUCUAACUUUCUUCUUCGCGCAAGGUCGCUACAAAUCAAGCGAAUCGUACUUUCUAAGGGAGAACUUUAUUAAUCCUCGCUUGUACAACUACAAACGUAUCAAAAAAGAAAAAAGAAGAAAAGACAAAGAUAAGAAACAAGAAAAGAAGAAAAGAUAAAUUCCGUUUAUGUAACAACAAAUAAACGUAUUAAAGAUUCAUCGAUA